AACAAGUGAGCAGCAUGUCCCAUCUUGUCCAGCACAAAGGGCCGACACACGCGCAGUGAUUUUAAAUGUGCCGAGUUCACAGGCAACGCUGUGAUGCUGACGACAGGGAAUCGUUCGUUAUGUAUUGCUCGUGAGGACAGCUUUUACCUUGGGAUCAGGUAGAGACAGGAAUCUUGAGAACUGGAUGCAUGAGGCAGUGAAACAGAACUUAACUUCCCGGCCAGUAUCUGACCUGAGGACCUGAGAAUUAUUAUUGGAUAGUCAUACCGGAUCUGAAGAGUGCUGUACAACUGACUGCCGAUUUCUUAGAGCGACCCGUGACGCAAAAAGACAUACAGAAAAUUGUAGAGAAGUGCAG
rnacentral:misc_RNA from 1 species